rnacentral:lncRNA from 1 species
CAAUCAAAAUGUGAUAUUGAUUAUUUUUGCAUUUAUUAAAUUAUAUAACAGAUAUUAAACCCUCACCAACUGAUUUAAUGGUUUGAUGUCAGGUUAUCUUGAGUCAAGACUUUAAAUUUUAAAUGAUUCCCUGCAGGAUGCCUGUUAAAAAGAAAAACUGAAGAAACUUUAAAACUAGAUGAUGCCAACUAAAGAAUUUAAAACACCGUUAUUUAUGGUGUCAUAUCGAGGCUUCAGUUUUUCAUGUUUGUUAGUUAUAUGCAAGAUAUGGCAUGGUAUAGCACACUGCAUGUAUAAAAGUGGAUAAAAGCACUAAAGAAAACGAUAACGAUAAACUUUCAAGCAGAAUUUUGUCAUGCGAUUAUGGUGGCGAUAUGAGAGAACUACUUUGGUAAU